rnacentral:tRNA from 1 species
ACCAAGUGGUGAAAUAGGGCUUUUAAGCAUUCCGAAGGCAGAGGCCACAGGUUCGAAUCCUGUCGGGUGCGCCA